UACGGAGGGUGCAAGCGUUAUCCGGAUUCACUGGGUUUAAAGGGUGCGUAGGAGGGCAGGUAAGUCAGUGGUGAAAUCUUCGAGCUUAACUCGGAACUGCCGUUGAUACUAUCUGUCUUGAAUACCGUGGAGGUGAGCGGAAUAUGUCAUGUAGCGGUGAAAUGCUUAGAUAUGACAUAGAACACCAAUUGCGAAGGCAGCUCGCUACACGAAUAUUGACUCUGAGGCACGAAAGCGUGGGGAUCAAACAGG
rnacentral:rRNA from 1 species